rnacentral:rRNA from 1 species
UAGGAGACUGCCGGGGUCAACUCGGAGGNNGGUGGGGACGACGUCAAAUCAUCAUGCCCCUUAUGUCUUGGGCUUCACGCAUGCUACAAUGGCCGGUACAAAGGGUUGCGAUACUGUGAGGUGGAGCUAAUCCCAAAAAGCCGGUCUCAGUUCGGAUUGGGGNNUGCAACUCGACCCCAUGAAGUCGGAGUCGCUAGUAAUCGCAGAUCAGCAACGCUGCGGUGAAUACGUUCCCGGGCCUU